ACGGGAGGCAGCAGUGGGGAAUAUUGCACAAUGGGGGAAACCCUGAUGCAGCGACGCCGCGUGAGCGAAGAAGUAUUUCGGUAUGUAAAGCUCUAUCAGCAGGGAAGAAAAUGACGGUACCUGACUAAGAAGCUCCGGCUAAAUACGUGCCAGCAGCCGCGGUAAUACGUAUGGAGCAAGCGUUAUCCGGAUUUACUGGGUGUAAAGGGAGCGUAGGCGGCACGGCAAGCCAGAAGUGAAAUGCCGGGGCUCAACCCCGGAACUGCUUUUGGAACUGUCGAGCUAGAUUGCAGGAGAGGUAAGUGGAAUUCCUAGUGUAGCGGUGAAAUGCGUAGAUAUUAGGAGGAACACCAGUGGCGAAGGCGGCUUACUGGACUGUAAAUGACGCUGAGGCUCGAAAGCGUGGGGAGCAAACAGGAUUAGAUACCCUGGUA
rnacentral:rRNA from 1 species